CUACGGGUUGCACCAGUGGGGGAUAUUGCACAAUGGGCGAAAGCCUGAUGCAGCAACGCCGCGUGAAGGAAGACGGUUUUCGGAUUGUAAACUUCUAUCAGCAGGGAAGAAAAUGACUGUACCUGACUAAGAAGCCCCGGCUAACUACGUGCCAGCAGCCGCGGUAAUACGUAGGGGGCAAGCGUUAUCCGGAAUUACUGGGUGUAAAGGGUACGUAGGCGGCUGAUCAAGUCAGAUGUGAAAGCCCGGAGCUCAACUCCGGGACUGCAUUUGAAACUGGUCGGCUAGAGUGCAGGAGAGGAAAGUGGAAUUCCUAGUGUAGCGGUGAAAUGCGUAGAUAUUAGGAAGAACACCAGUGGCGAAGGCGGCUUUCUGGACUGUAACUGACGCUGAGGUACGAAAGCGUGGGGAGCGAACAGGAUUAGAUACCCCUGUAGUC
rnacentral:rRNA from 1 species